GAUGAACGCUAGCUACAGGCUUAACACAUGCAAGUCGAGGGGAAACGGCAUCGAAAGCUUGCUUUUGAUGGGCGUCGACCGGCGCACGGGUGAGUAACGCGUAUCCAACCUGCCCAUCACUUGGGAAUAACCUUGCGAAAGUAAGACUAAUGCCCAAUGACAUCCCACGAAGGCAUCCGAAUGGGAUUAAAGAUUUAUCGGUGAUGGAUGGGGAUGCGUCUGAUUAGCUUGUUGGCGGGGUGACGGCCCACCAAGGCAACGAUCAGUAGGGGUUCUGAGAGGAAGCCCCCCCACAUUGGAACCAAGGCACGGACCAAACGCCUACGGGAGGCAGCAGUGAGGAAUGUUGAUCAAGGGGCGAGAGCCUGAACCAGCCAAGUAGCGUGCAGGAUGACGGCCCUAUGGGUUGUAAACUGCUUGUAUAAGGGAAUAAAGUGGGUCACGUGUGACUUUUUGCAUGUACCUAAUGAAUAAGGACCGGCUAAUUACGUG
rnacentral:rRNA from 1 species